rnacentral:rRNA from 1 species
CAUUCGAGUGGCGGACGGGUGAGUAACGCGUGGGUAACCUGCCUUACACAGGGGGAUAACACCUGGAAACAGGUGCUAAUACCGCAUAAGCGCACAGGGCCGCAUGGCCCGGUGUGAAAAACUCCGGUGGUGUAAGAUGGACCCGCGUCUGAUUAGCUUGUUGGCGGGGUAGGGGCCACCAAGGCGACGAUCAGUAGCCGGCCUGAGAGGGUGGACGGCCACAUUGGGACUGAGACACGGCCCAAACUCCUACGGAAGGCAGCAG